UGGCAAACGGGUGAGUAACACGUAAACAACCUGCCUUCAGGAUGGGGACAACAGACGGAAACGACUGCUAAUACCGCAUAACGUAUCGGGAUGGCAUCUUCCUGAUACCAAAGAUUUUAUCGCUUAGAGAUGGGCUCGCGUCUGAUUAGAUAGUUGGCGGGGUAACGGCCCACCAAGUCGACGAUCAGUAGCCGGACUGAGAGGUUGAACGGCCACAUUGGGACUGAGACACGGCCCAGACUCCUACGGGAGGCAGCAUG
rnacentral:rRNA from 1 species